rnacentral:rRNA from 1 species
CCUGCCGGCGAGUGGCGAACGGGUGAGUAAUGCAUCGGAACGUACCCAGUGGUGGGGGAUAGCUCGGCGAAAGCCGGAUUAAUACCGCAUACGCCCUGAGGGGGAAAGUGGGGGAUCUUCGGACCUCACGCCAUUGGAGCGGCCGAUGUCGGAUUAGCUAGUUGGUGAGGUAAAGGCUCACCAAGGCGACGAUCCGUAGCUGGUCUGAGAGGAUGAUCCGCCACACUGGAACUGAGACACGGUCCAGACUCCUACGGGAGGCAGCAGUGGGGAAUUUUGGACAAUGGGCGCAAGCCUGAUCCAGCCAUGCCGCGUGAGUGAAGAAGGCCUUCGGGUUGUAAAGCUCUUUCGGCCGGGAAGAAAUCGUGGUGGCUAAUACCUGCCAUGGAUGACGGUACCGGACUAAGAAGCACCGGCUAACUACGUGCCAGCAGCCGCGGUAAUACGUAGGGUGCGAGCGUUAAUCGGAAUUACUGGGCGUAAAGCGUGCGCAGGCGGUUGUGUAAGACAGGCGUGAAAUCCCCGGGCUCAACCUGGGAACUGCGCUUGUGACUGCACGGCUAGAGUACGGCAGAGGGGGGUGGAAUUCCACGUGUAGCAGUGAAAUGCGUAGAGAUGUGGAGGAACACCGAUGGCGAAGGCAGCCCCCUGGGUCGAUACUGACGCUCAUGCACGAAAGCGUGGGGAGCAAACAGGAUUAGAUACCCUGGUAGUCCACGCCCUAAACGAUGUCGACUAGUUGUUGGAGGGGUAAAACCCUUUAGUAACGUAGCUAACGCGUGAAGUCGACCGCCUGGGGA